UUAGAAAUACCUUCUACAUUUAAACAGAGUAGGGGUUGGAGGCGGUUACACAGGCCAAGAAAAAUACAGAGCAACCCUUCUCGGAUCUCUCGGAAGCUAAGAGACCCAAUGCAACAAGGACCCAUCAUUUUAAAAGUCUGGCAAAUGUGUUUUUUUCAAAUUGUGGCUUUUUUUUCAUACCAGUGCAAGCCCAUGAUGGAAUCCUAGACAACUAAGGAAAAAUGGAGACCAACAAUCUGAGGCUGGAGUUAAGGCUCACUGGGAAAACUGCAGAGGUACGGUGCCGUUCCUGACGCAUGCCAAGGACAGAAGCUCUCACACGACUCAUCACUGCCGACUGACCCCUGGCUGAUGGCCUGUCCACCAGCUUCGGCCUCCACAGAGUGGCUCCCGGCCCCUGCCCUUCCCAGCCCCUCACGGGAGGAUAUCACUAAGUCCAGCCACAGUCAGGGGUGGUCUUCUUGAGGGAGGAGCUGUCUCCAUAAACGAUUUGAAUUCUUCAGGAGUUCUGCCUAUCCUCUCCCGUUCAUUUAUUCAGUGAGGUCUCAUGGGUAUUUAUACUUUGAAUUAUAAAGUAUAAUUUGAAUUAUAA